UGCUAUGAAUUGUAAGGGUGUUCUGCCUAGUUUCUAGGGUGUUCGAUAACUGUUGUUAUGGUGUUCUUAUAGCUUGCUGGGAAUUCUUAGGGUAUUCUGGCUGGCGCCAGGUGUUAGGGUGUUUUAACUAUUACUAGAUGUUGCUACGGUGGUCUAACUGUUGCCAUACAUCGCUAGGGUGUUGUAACUGCGAAUUGUACGGGAGUUCUUCCCAGUUGACUGACUGCUAGUGCUCUACUACUACAGACCGCAGACAGACAACCAGAUAGACAGACAGUCAGACAGACAGACAGAUAAAUAACAUUAUGUUCGCGACAGUGAGACAGUCAGAUAAACUAACAGAGGUGUUCGCACAGACUGCAUCUGUAGGCUACUGAGCUGAUCCAUGAGUUUCUGACUAUUAUUUUAAAAACUAAUUAUCUUGCAUCAAAUGACGGAGCAUACAGAAAGUACAACAGUAAAAACCCAGAAGUGGAAGAAAAAUACAUGGCAUGACAGCGCCUGAUUGCUGACCUUUGGAACUUCAGAACACAGCAAAACACCAAGAGAAGUUGAGAUUUCUACGAAAUUGAUUAUGUAGAAUCAAAAGAUGUCAACACUGAUGUCUCUGUUUCACACAACCGAUCGAACAGCCUGCGGUGGAUCUCAGUUGAAACCAGUUGAUUAUAAAUUACCUUACUGAAAACUUCCAAGUCAUCGUCUUCGUCUAGAUCUAAUAUUUGCCCGCUGAUGUCUGUCGGAAUCGCAACCGAAGAAUUGCCCGAUGACACGGUGCUGUCGACAACAAAUCCACUCAUCGUUGCUCAGAUCGCUACUUUGUUGCAAGUUUUCAGGACUUCAUCGGUUUUUCCGCACAACUCUCAAAAGCUCAGCCGAGGCGGAUCAGGCUCAACUGCGCAGAAUCGGAAACAGCGAGCCUAGGAAAGGGCCGAGAGUUGAGCUCUGCGGGACGCCCACGUGAAAGAGCGUGUUUACGACCUCACAAGUCUUCAGUUAUUCCAGUGUGCACUGAAAGCAUCUGCCUGGCAACAGACCUCGGCUCGGCUCGCAAUCGACCCAGACAGAGGCUGCUAACUGCAUGUACAGUGGAACAUGAGAUCAUGCGAUCACGCCUGUGCAUGCAUGGGGUCAUGUCUAUCCCAUGUCUCUAUCCAGAGUAACUGCCUCCAUGAGACGUGCACAGGUCUACUGGGUUUAGUCUGAAGUAAUAUUUAAUGUUCCUCUCUACGAAGUGAAUUACCCACAGGUCAGUGGGGCAUCUGAAAUCUCCACAUGUGAAUGCUGGACUUGGUCCACUACCACCAAGUCUGAUUCCUCAGCCUUGGGUGAAAUAAAUCAUAAAAAAAAUGAAUGCAUGAAUACAAAUUGAAGCUGACCCAGGAAGUUGGACUUUUCGAUACGCUCGCUUCCACUCCUGCUCCGUUAGUUUUAUCAGCUCUCCUCCAGGUUCUCUGUUCCAGGCCAGUGUGUUCGGUGAGCCGGUCCGGGCGCUGGAGCAUUCAGGGUGCAGUGAUGAUUCCUCACAUCCAAGAGAGGCUCACACUUAAUCUUCCUGCCACGGUUGGGAUGCGAGUGGCCAUCGGGGG